rnacentral:RNase_P_RNA from 1 species
AGAGUCGCCCGGAUCACCGCGUUGUCGCAAGACACCGAGGAAAGUCCGGACUUCACAGAGCAAGGUGGUGGGUAACGCCCACCUGGAGCAAUCCACGGGAUAGUGCAACAGAAAGUAAACCGCCAAUAUCUAGUUCGCUGGAGAUUGGUAAGGGUGAAACGGCGGUGUAA